AUGAUCAACAUCGGAGCCUUCCUUGUUCUAGUGUUUGCCCUAGAUAUGUUAGACUCUGUUUCAUAUAUGCAACUUGCUAUACUGUCUGCUCUAGAUGUGUUUAGUUACAGUUCAUAUAUGAAGAUGUUGUUUACCUUCUCUUUCUCAAAUUGCAUGACUUGUUUUAUCACUGCUAUACUAGUCGUGCUUUAUCUAGUAUAUCUUAUUGCCGCUGUGCAUAUGUUUUAUUACUGCACCACGUAUGGUAUGGAGUUGUUUCUGUGGAAUGCUGGAAACUGUCUUGAAAAGCUCAUAAAUGCUAAUUCAACUGAGGUUGAUUGGGAACGUUCCUUCUAUUUGAAUUUAGUCGCUCACACGUCAUAUACUGUCACAGUGGCAUUGUGCAGUAUCAGCAAUCUUCGCAAUCGUGCAGACAAAAGCAAGCGGUUGCCUCCAAUUUACAAGGUUUCAAAAAUUGUAUAUGCAUCCCCUAGCCGUGUAAAUUUCCGCCUUGAUCAAAGAAAGGCUGUAGAGACAGUACCUGCAUAUCCGAACAUUUAUUUCUCAGUUGAUGACUUCGAUGAUCCUUUUGAUGCUGUGGUUUUGUCAGACCCAGAACACUGCUAUUGUGUGAUUCUCAAUGCGCAUGAUGGGGCAGCAUUUCCUGAAGAAAGCGAAUCAAGCAAUGUCGGUUCAAAUAUACAAUCUGGGAUCAACUCUGGGAGCAGUGGAGAGAACCCACCAAAGGGAAAAUUGUCGUAUGAGUUAUUAUGUAGGACGUAUUCGAUGGCGCCUAGAGAUCCUAAAAGCAAGAGGUUUUGGGGAAAAGCGUGGCUUAUGUGGAUGGAUAUGAUCUUCAAGUCUUGGUACUCCUCCGUAUUAUUGAAUGGAGUUCCUGGCAAGCAGUUCCUUUGCAAGAGAGGUGUUAGACAAUGGGGAUCCUCUUUCUCCUUUAUUAUUUGUGCUUGCAGCUGA
rnacentral:rRNA from 1 species